AACGAACGCUGGCGGCAGGCCUAACACAUGCAAGUCGAACGCCGUAGCGACACGGAGUGGCAGACGGGUGAGUAACGCGUGGGAACAUACCCCUCGGUUCGGAAUAACUCAGGGAAACUUGAGCUAAUACCGGAUACGUCCAAGGUUUUAAUCGACCUUGGAGAAAGAUUUAUCGCCGGAGGAUUGGCCCGCGUCUGAUUAGCUUGUUGGUGAGGUAAUGGCUCACCAAGGCGACGAUCAGUAGCUGGUCUGAGAGGAUGAUCAGCCACAUUGGGACUGAGACACGGCCCAAACUCCUACGGGAGGCAGCAGUGGGGAAUAUUGGACAAUGGGCGAAAGCCUGAUCCAGCCAUGCCGCGUGAGUGAUGAAGGCCUUAGGGUUGUAAAG
rnacentral:rRNA from 1 species